rnacentral:tRNA from 1 species
GCUAGUGUAGCUUAACUAAAGCAUAACACUGAAGAUGUUAAGACAAGUCCUAGAAUGACUUCACAAGCA